ensembl:lncRNA
ACCAAGUACUGUGCUAAUCACUAGGGAAACAAAAAAAGGCAAAAGACAGUCCAAGUGUGGAUCACAACAUAGUUUUUCACUUUUUUUUUACAUUUUUUCUCAUUUUUUUCCCUUUUUGAUCUGAUUUUUCUUGUAUAGCAUGAUAAAUGUAAAAAUAUGUAUAGAAUUGCACAUUUAACAUAUGUUGGAUUACUUGCAGUCUAAGGGAGGGGGGAGUCCCAUUCAUCAGAAUUGAUUGUGGCAUAAUAUUGAUGUUGCUGUGUACAAUGAUUUCUUAUGGACCCACUACUUUAAAUAAACUUUGUCCUAAAUCUCUUAGAAAAGUCUUUCCUUCAGGGCACUGGCUUCUAUGGUCUAGGUUAUCUUUGCUAUCUAUGCAUUGAGUCCUCAUCCAGAUCAUUGUUGAUUCACCUGAAUGUAGGUCUAAAAUCUCAUCAAAUAAUUGAGGCAAGAAUCAGCAAGUGAGAGGCUCCUCAGGUAGCUCUAAUCCUUCAGGGAUUGAGAUUUUGAACAUCUUCAUUCUCUCUGUGCCUUUGGUUAAAUCUUGGUUUGCCUUUACCAGUUGCUUCUUGCAUAAUCUGGUCCAGUUGAACAGGAGAUAUAGUCAGUGAUCAUCCUCUAAGGGGAGAUUAGCUUUCAAAAUUCUUAAGGCAUUAUUUGUAACAAGGUUAACAUGUCUUUCCCUAGAUUUGUCAAGAAAGCUUUCCCAUUCCAUUCAGUUUGCUAAAAGUAGUUCUUUGUCCUAUUUAGUUUCUCCAGGUACUUAGCAGAGCUCUCUCUUUCACAAAAUAGCUCUUCUGUUUCAGACUGUCAAGAAAGAUAUUCCAAAGACAGUUGGUAAAUAAAGAUACUUUGGAGUUAGAAAGUGGAUGGAUUUUAGUCCCCCAAAUCUCAAAUUCGAGCCAAUUUCAAGUCCAGUUCAUGUACCUGGUGCUGGGGAUGGCAAUGGGAAGGCACAUUUACCUGUACCAGCUACCAUACACUUUGUGAAAGUGACUGAAGUUAUUACACGUUACAGGCAAGAAUAUUUUGAAAAUUUGGCAGCCUCAAAGGUCAAUAGGAUCCCUUUAGGACAAGGUCUGGAUAGCUGCAGUUACUAGUCAAGGACAUUGUUUCCAAACUGUCACAGUAGAAGUUGAAAGGAAGCAGUGAACUGGAAAGGUGGUUUAGAAUUUUUUCUGGUGCCCUUUUGUAACCUCCCACCCAGAGAUUACUGGUUAUUAGUCUUGCCUAGUUCCCUUCAGAAAAUUUCCGGUUAUGAUUAAGUAAGCUUUCUUGUUAACUGUUAUUCCAAUGACAUGAACUACCAGACCAGCAUGAGUCAAAUCCUACCCCCUUCAUCAAAUGUCAAGAGCAAAACAAGGAGGGAUGUCUUUUCUAAUCUCUUCCCCUUCCCACCUCAGCCCACUAGUUUGAGAAAGUCAAAACAAUGGCCAACAUUUUUGAUAAUAAGAUGGAGCCUAUUUAAGGUUUUCAACUGACAACUAAAGCAGUUGUCAUUAUUUCUUUCUGGUCUAGAUUGGAAGACAGAAAGGAAGGUCUCAUCACACCUGGAAAGUUGACAAACUGGAGGUGUAGCAUAAUAGCAUUAAUUUUCAGGUACAACUAUUUUUAUUUGGUUAUAUUUGUUGAAAGGGAAGACUCCUAUUUGGCAAGGAAGUUAGUGCGUUGUGAUAAAUAUAAAAUCAAAAGAACAUUAAUAAAAAUAUGGAAAACAAAGUCAAGGGAACAUUAACGGGAUAAUUUUGUUAGCAAUAUUGAUUUCCUAUAGAAUCAUCACUUUGUAUUAAUAGUUUACAUUUUGGUUCUUUACUCAGUUAAUGAAGACUAGGCCAUUCACUCAUUAGCCAGUCAGCCUGUAGAGAAGUUAGUAAAUCAACAACCAAAUCUCUGAAGAAUGUUCUUUUUAGGAAUUUUUAGAAUAAAAAAAAUUAACAUUAGUAUAGUGUUUACUAUGUGCCAGGCACUGCACUAAUUAGCAAAUCAUUUGGUCUUUAUAACACAACAAAUGUUUAUAUUAAAAUGUAAAAAGCAUUUUUAGCUGGCUCACCAGGCUAUAGUUUGUUGACCCCGACCUACUACUAAGAUUUUGUUAGCUGCCAAUUUUGUGGUGACCUUAUUUGCCACUUGAUUAUGAUUUUUAAAGUCAAAAUAAUGUAGCAGAUUUAGAGAAAGUCCCCCUAGUUUCUAAAGCUUGGAAACAGAGCUAGGAAGAUAUGGUUAUUAGGAAAAUGAUAAAUUGACAGUGUAAGCACACCUCAGAGUAAGUCUAAGAAAUGAUAAAUUUAUCACUUAUUCUUUUAAUGGUUUGUUGCUAUUCUCUCAUUUUCUAUAUAGUAGUAGGUAAUUAGUGCUGAAAUCCUGAAAGCUCCAAGUUGUGUAGCCAGGAAAUUAAUUCAUUAACAAGAAUAC